AAUACGAUUGACAUUUAACCCAGUGCAAGUGUUGCAGGAGGAUCGAUUAGCAAUUCGAUUGCUAAUUGGCUUAAUUUGAUUAAGUCAAUAGGUUGAGAUUAAGUUUAAUUAAAUAUAAUUUAAUUAUAUUUAUUUUGGGCUUGAUUGGAUCAAGUCCAAUUGGUUUAUUGGAUAAGCCAAGUGCAAGGAAAAACUAGUCCUAGUUCAACUAGGACUUGGGUCAAUCUAAUUUCUAAUUUGAUUAGAAAAUUAAAUCAGAUUUAAAUCUAAUUUAAUAUGAUUAAAUUAGGUUCUUAAUUGGGUUAAGACUUAUUUUAAUUGGGUUGAUCUAAUUUUGAUUUGAUUUGGUUUGGGAAACCAAAUUAAAACAAGUCAUAAGACAGAAUCCUAGUAAGACUAGGAUUCCACCUUGCGCCACAUAAGCCUUCUCCACGCCCUCUCUCUUAUUCAACAUCAAUCUCCACUUAUUUUGUGUGACAAAAGCCCUCUCUCAGAUCUCUCCCACCUUCACAAAAGGUCUCCUCUCUUCUUUCUUACAUGGAAGGUGGUUUGGAUCAAAUCUAAAAGGAAUAAGUUUGGAUUUCGAAUUCUAUGAGAUAGAGUUUUUAGAAAUCCAAAACUCUUUCAAUUUUGCAUCGAAUUUAUCCAAAUUUUUUUUGAAAUUUUUGUGGCUUUUAGGGUAUAUAUUGUGCACCCUUUUCUGGUGAUCCAUGCAUAAAAAUAUGAAGGAGGUGCUCAAGAGUUGGGCGUCCCUUAACUUGCCAUGUUUGGAUAAGCCUUGACUAGGUGUUUGACCUAGAUAAGGACUCUAUCAUAUCUCUCUAUAUAAGAUGAGUUUCUUUAUGAAAUUUUAGGAGAAAUUAGAGAUUUAAGAGACCUUUCUUCCAUCCAAAAAUUAGAGAGAAAUACCUUUGGGUCGUGGAGAUAUAAAAGAUGCAAGUUUGGGUGUCUAGAGAGAAAAAUGUGAAGAAGAAGAGGGUCUUC
rnacentral:lncRNA from 1 species